GGAAAGAUGAAAAGAACUUUGAAAAGAGAGUUAAACAGUACGUGAAAUUGUUGAAAGGGAAACGAUUGAAGUCAGUCGUGCUGGCGCGAAAUCAACCCUCUCGUCUUGAGAUCACAUGGCGCGACGAGCCUCAAAACCGUCACGAAGCGUGAUCGCUUGAUGAAAAGGUGCACUUUCGUGUCCGCUGGUUAACAUCAAUUUCGAUCGUCAUAAAAAGGCUGGAGGGAUGUGGCUCCUUCGGGAGUGUUAUAACCUUUAGCGGAAUGUGGUGGUUGGGAUUGAGGAUUGCAACGAAUACCUUCAGGGCUGUUCCACCUGGCUUCUCAUUGGUAUCCUGGUGACGACAGCUUGCUGACGUCGUUAGGAUCAGCUUCUGAACAGGCUAGAGUGUGAGCAAAUUCGUUAAGGAUGUUAACGUAAUGGCUUUAAACGACCGUCUUGAAACACGGACCA
rnacentral:rRNA from 1 species